rnacentral:tRNA from 1 species
AACUCUGUAGUUUAAAGGUUAGGCGCUAGCUGUAAGAACUAGAUGUGCUAGGUUCGAUCCCUGGCAGGGUCG